GCCUGGCUGGUCCAGUCGGUGGAUGUGUGACUCUUGAUCUUGGGGUUGUGAGUUCAAGCCCCACAUCAGGCG
rnacentral:tRNA from 1 species